CAAGUGUCCGCCCUCCAAUGGUGAUCCACACAAAAAUUGAACCAAGGACAGCACUCUUUCUUGACCUUGCUUCAAGAGUUCUAGCCACUAAAACUCAACUAGCCUCAUACUGGUCAGGUUUCUCCAAGAAACUGACUCCACCCUCUUAGAACCACUUUUGGACUUCUGAUCCUCCUUUCUUAGGACCCUCACAACCCUGGUUA
rnacentral:lncRNA from 1 species